UUCGUUUCCGCUGUAGCCGGAAUCCACAGAUAUUCUACAUUCGCCCUCAGUUGUUCCCGCUUCUGGAUUUUUGUUCCAAUAAAGGCCGGUCCAUUUCAUCCACGUGUGACAGAUAAAGCAGCAAACACGAACGGGUUCUAGGGCGACCAAGGAAGGAAGCACACAGAAGAGAAGAACAACAAAAAACUCAUUAUGACACUCCUAUGGUACCAAUGAACAGAAUGGUGCUGAUAACUGAGGAGAAAUAGGAGGGAAGACUAAUGGACUGUGUGCGGCAAGGCGAGACUUCCGGUGAUUGGUCGUUUAAAGAAAGAAAAUGAAGCGGAGCAGAAUGACCGCACCACUUUAUGAGACACUACUGGAACCCCACCACCUCCUAGCGCCUCCUCCGCCAACCAUCUCCACUCUCUUUGCUCGCCCGCCUGUAAAUAUUGAUCCUGCAGAGAUGCAACCAGCAAUCGAUUAUCCCCCUUCGUAAUCAACGGCUCGCCUUCGAAUGUGCCGUAUAAACAAGUGAGAUUUUCUGCUUCAAUUAAGGACAUUACGGCUUACUCACUGUAUGAAUGAGGGGGUAUUAGGUGGGAGGAAACACAGGUGUUAAUUCUAUGGGAGCACCUAUAUGUUUUGUCUGUCAUGAUUACAGUAGAUUAAAACAAAUUAGGGGUGUAACCAACGUGAACGCCGGAGAGCUGUUUAUAACGGAAAAUCAGCUAAAACUGUAAAGGGUUUACAGUGUCUCUGUUGGAUAUUUUGUCCGUUUUGUAGAUCAGUGAUGACUCUGUUUUUAGAGCCUUGUCAAUUUGUACACCCACAUUUUAUUCCGCUACUCAAUAGACCU